ensembl:lincRNA
GAGCCCAUUUAUUUUUUUGUUCCUCCAUGUAACCCCACAAAAAAUCACGUUUGUUCAAGAUAGCUUCAGUGAGACUCUAUCAAAUUGAAACGAACUGCAGGAACAGACACUUUUUCUCAGUGCAUGGCUGCCACUCUUGGAGAGCAGGAAAGAUGUGCAGUAGGAGCACCUGAGCGGCUCUUCACCACAGCUCAGGAGGGGAGGGGAGGACUCUGAGGCUCAGGAGGAGAGGGGAGGACUCCAUGCCUCAGGAAAAAUGGGAAGAAUACCACAAAGUCUGUGCAAGUUCUCUGCUGUCAAAUGGAGAAAAACAAAAACAAGGGUCAGAGAGCUAUUUUUAUUGAAGAUCUCAAGAAGGACCAAGUCAUUCAUCAAGUGGAGCGGAUGUGGUCAGGAAAAAGGACUGGCCAGAGAAAAUCCAUCUGCAGAGCCUCAUCCUUAUUGGUCAUUUUUCCCCAAAAGACAUCCCAGGAUUCCUGUAUCCUCUGAAUGUGACCCAUCGCCACCUUCAUCAUCAGCCUCAUCAUCAUCAAUGUUUACUUAUUUUAACCAAUAGAUACACAAUAUAAAAUGCUUGGGUGAAGAAUAGCAUUUUUUGAACUCACCUUUAAUACAGAGAAGUAUGGAGCGGUUAAACAAAUAAAAGGAUAGGCUACAAUCUCAAUUUUGAUAAAUCAAUUUUUAAAAACCUGUCAAUGGUUAUAAAAUGCAAAUAUACAAAUAGGUAUAUUUGCAUAAUUUGUUUAUUUACCGUCUGAUUGAUGGACACAUCCUACUUAUUU